rnacentral:rRNA from 1 species
GAAUUGACGGGGGCCCGCACAAGCGGUGGAGCAUGUGGUUUAAUUCGACGCAACGCGCAGAACCUUACCAACCCUUGACAUGUCCAGUAUGGUUUCCAGAGAUGGAUUCCUUCAGUUCGGCUGGCUGGAACACAGGUGUUGCAUGGCUGUCGUCAGCUCGUGUCGUGAGAUGUUGGGUUAAGUCCCGCAACGAGCGCAACCCUCGCCUUUAGUUGCCAUCAUUAAGUUGGGCACUCUAGAGGGACUGCCGGUGAUAAGCCGGAGGAAGGUGGGGAUGACGUCAAGUCCUCAUGGCCCUUACGGGUUGGGCUACACACGUGCUACAAUGGCGGCGACAAUGGGCAGCGAAGGGGCGACCCGGUGCAAAUCCCAAAAAGCCGUCUCAGUUCGGAUUGUACUCUGCAACUCGAGUGCAUGAAGGUGGAAUCGCUAGUAAUCGCGUAACAGCAUGACGCGGUGAAUACGUUCCCGGGCCUUGUACACACCGCCCGUCACACCAUGGGAGUUGGUUUUACCCGAAGCUGGUGCGCUAACCGCAAGGAGGCAGCCAACCACGGUAAGGUCAGCGACUGGGGUGAAGUCGUAACAAGGUAGCCCUAGGGGAACCUGGGGCUGGAUCACCUCCUUUCUGAG